AUUUUAAGUGUCCAGAAUAAAUUUAAAUGUCUUCUUCCUGUUAGGACCAGAAGAAGAGGACUCUUUCCCUUCGGUCCUCCACUCAGCAGCUUCUUUUUUCUCAGUUGGAUUUUUAUUUUCCAUCACAACAACCUUACAAAUGUUGAUGAAAAUAAUUCAUGUCUGAGUUCCUGUUUCUCCUUUUUAUUUGGGUCUGAGCAGGGAGAGUUUCAUCAGGUGUCCCACAGCAGCUUGAUAGAAUCGGGCUGUGGUACCGUCGGUAAUGAGCCGAACGGGUCGGCGGUGUGUCGCUACGACUCGCUCAUCUGAGGCGCCACUGGUGGGGGAGAUUUGAGAUCAAACAGCCUGAAAACGGCCUCACCUGUUGAGUUUGAGUCGCUACACGCAGCGAGCUUCUCCUGCUGGGCAGAUCUGAGAGAAGAAAAUGAGGAUUUAACUAUACCGUCCUCAUAAGAAGCUGCCUUCUGACCCAGAUGAACUCAUCCAUCCAUGCCUGGUUCCCUUCAUCCAUCCAUCCUGGUUCCCUUCAUUCAUCCAUCCACCCAUCCAUCCAUCCUGGUUCCCUUUCAUUCCUGGGAAUUCCUUGCUGACCAUUUGAUUUCUUUACAGGGAUGUUCUCAGUCUUUAAAAUAAAAAUGAAUAAA